rnacentral:rRNA from 1 species
GACGAACGCUGGCGGCGUGCCUAAUACAUGCAAGUAGAACGCAGUUGCGAACGGGUGAGUAACGCGUAGGUAACUGCCUCAUAGCGGGGGCUAACUAUUGGAAACGAUAGCUAAUACCCCAUACUGUGAGAUGGACCUUCGUUUUAUUAGCUAGUUGGUGAGGUAAAGGCUCACCAAGGCGACGGUACAUAGCCGACCUGAGAGGGGGAUCGGCCAAAAUGGGACUGGGGAAAGGGCCAGAAUCCUACGGGAGGCAGCAGGAGGGAAUCUUCGGCAAAGGACGGAAGUCGGAACGAGCAAAGGCGCGGGAGUGAAGAAGGGUUUCCGAUCGUAAAGCUCGGUUGUUAGAGAAGCGGUAACUAACGAGAAAGGGACGGCUAACUACGUGCCAGCAGCCGCGGUAAUUC